rnacentral:rRNA from 1 species
AGAGUUUGAUUCUGGCUCAGAUUGAACGCUGGCGGAAUGCUUUACACAUGCAAGUCGAACGGCAGCACGGGUGCUUGCACCUGGUGGCGAGUGGCGAACGGGUGAGUAAUGCGUCGGAACGUACCGAGUAAUGGGGGAUAACGCGGCGAAAGUCGCGCUAAUACCGCAUACGCCCUGAGGGGGAAAGUGGGGGAUCGCAAGACCUCACGUUAUUCGAGCGGCCGACGUCUGAUUAGCUAGUUGGUGGGGUAAAGGCCUACCAAGGCGACGAUCAGUAGCGGGUCUGAGAGGAUGAUCCGUCACACUGGGACUGAGACACGGCCCAGACUCCUACGGGAGGCAGCAGUGGGGAAUUUUGGACAAUGGGGGCAACCCUGAUCCAGCCAUUCCGCGUGAGUGAAGAAGGCCUUCGGGUUGUAAAGCUCUUUCAGCUGGAACGAAACGGUACGCUCUAACAUAGCGUGCUAAUGACGGUACCGGCAGAAGAAGCACCGGCUAACUACGUGCCAGCAGCCGCGGUAAUACGUAGGGUGCGAGCGUUAAUCGGAAUUACUGGGCGUAAAGCGUGCGCAGGCGGAUUGUUAAGCAAGACGUGAAAGCCCCGGGCUUAACCUGGGAAUGGCGUUUUGAACUGGCAGUCUAGAGUGCGUCAGAGGGGGGUGGAAUUCCACGUGUAGCAGUGAAAUGCGUAGAGAUGUGGAGGAACACCAAUGGCGAAGGCAGCCCCCUGGGAUGACACUGACGCUCAUGUACGAAAGCGUGGGUAGCAAACAGGAUUAGAUACCCUGGUAGUCCACGCCCUAAACGAUGUCAACUGGUUGUUGGGGGAGUGAAAUCCCUUAGUAACGAAGCUAACGCGUGAAGUUGACCGCCUGGGGAGUACGGUCGCAAGAUUAAAACUCAAA